AUAUCGUUAUCCAUGUUUUCUUUUUUCUCUAUUUUGUUUCUUUUUCUUUUCAUUUCUUCCAAAUGAACCGGCAGUAGUAUCAAUGUCGAGCUAUAAUUGUUGGGUCCAAGAAAAAAUCAUCCAUUUACUACUGGUUAUGACAAUGGCUUGAGUGGCAACACAUUACAUGUUACAAGACGCACGUUCAUUCACACAGUCACGAGAUAGAUGGUGUUCACGCAUGCUUUCAGAUAUUAGGAUAUGGGUUCCCCUCUCUUUUCUGUGGCAACUACACCAUAUGAUGGACGACAUUCCAUCCAACCUUUGAUACAUCUCUUCCUUGCUCUCUAGUGUACAAGGUGAUUACCAAACAACAUCUAAUCUGGUUUUUUUUUUUUCAAUUUCAAUCACACGACAUCCCCUUUUUUACUUUAAUGGUUUGCAAUAUUAGUAUGUUUUUCACAUGAUCUGUACCCGAAUCUAGACAUUAAAUUUUAUCUUUUAAAAAUUAAUAAAUUUAAAUAUUUUUAUCUAUUGACCCAAUUUAAACCAACAUUUUUGUAAAUAAGUUGGUUUGAUUUGGGUUUUACAACAAAAUAAUUCAAAAACUAAAUCCAAGUUAAUUUAUUUAAAUUUGAUUGGAUUAGAUCAUAAAUUUAGUCAAAUCCAAUGUAAUCUAACCUAUGAACAUCCCUUUAAAAAAAACUUAGCAUGAUAUAUACAAACUUAUGGUAUGAUCUGUUUGUGUUGGAUAGUACUACAUUAGUUAUCAUGGUGCUACUAUGGUUAAAUAAUUAAUUAGAUAAAUGUUUAAAUACAUUUUCAAUUUUUUACUUUUUAUUUUUCAUCCUUAUAAAAAAUUUAAUUUUAGUCCUUAAAAACUUUGUUUAUUUUUUUAUCAUUAAAACGGUUGAAAUAACAUUUUAACAAAACUAAAUUACAAGUACAAAAAUAUUUAAACCUUAGAAUCAUUUCAAAGUGAUGCAAAUUUAAACGACCACUGUUUACACAGAUCAAAGGCCUACAAAACCAGUAUUUCUUAGUAACUUCACACAUUAGAAAGAAGAUGAAAAUUUUGAAAUGUAAAAAGUAAAAACUUCUCCGAGUAUUCACCUAAGAACUACAUCUUUUUUUCCUAGAAUUAGUCGAUGUUAUUAUAUAAUAUGGAAAUCAUAAAGGCUCUAGCACAAGCGUAUAUAUAUUCUAUUAAUGCCACGAGAACUAUUUUACGAGCCUCAAACAUUAACUUUAAUGAAUAAUCCAUAUCACGGUCAAGUAUCAAUAGAUCCGAAAUCCAAAACUUCCUCUACUUCCACGAGGGAUGGUGCUCCGAUCCAAUAUACAAAUUUUCCUUGCUGAAAACUUCAUUACAAUGCCAAUAAUUUGAACAUAAUUGUUUGCUUUUCAACUUCUUAAUUAUAGUAUUUUCUUUUUCCAGCGGUCCACUAUUUAUUCAAAGAAAUUAAAGCAAGCAAACAAUACGAUGAGGAAAGUAAUAAACUACCGAAGUCAUGCACAUAGUGAAUAGAAUUUCUCUUGGCUUCUACAUGGUACCUUCUGUCUCAUAAAUUGGUUAGAGAAAGUAGAAAUCCAAAUUAAAGCAAAUGGAAGAUACAACACACGGCGUGGAGUAGCCCCACCACCGUCAAAAUUUGAGCAGGACUAGGCAACCAUAAAAGUGAACUAUGCCCUCAUCAUUUCGUUACUAGUAGGGAAUGUAGAAAUGUACAAUAUUGACAAAAAGAAAAAGAGCAAACUGAAGCCUCCAACAAUGGGACCUUCGUGUCACAUUUACUAACACUCCCUGCUCUUUGAGAGUGAUUGUGAGAAUGAGAUGACAUUGUAUUAAUAGAUCAAAGUAUUUAACUCAGUUAAUUCAAGAUAUGUGAGUUGUAUUUUGUAAAAUGCAAAUGUCUUAUUAUCUAUUUACGGUUAAUUCAAGAUAUGAG
rnacentral:lncRNA from 1 species